UUGAGCAUUUACACGAGCCAUAUAUUUAGCGAACCCUGAAGAAUUAUUACAGUUCGAUAAACCAACACAGAUGUUUUAAUUGUCACAUCACGUCAUUCGUUGCUUUAGCAACCCUUACCAUCAAAACCAUUUCCUAUUAUCCUACAAAGUCUAUUCCUAUGCUAGACAUCAACCCUAUAAACUUUUGGAUGAAAACCUUCUCUGCAAAGCCAAGUUACACCAACUAAGAAUUUCAUUUCACUUUUCACAAAUACCCCACAAUUUAUACACUCUUCGCUUGCAAGAAAGAGCUCUCCACAGCUCAAGAAUUUCAAAGCUUCAGCAGUCAAUUAGAAACAAGAUAAACAUAGUUCUUUUCCCACCAAUCUAGCAGAACAACAACAGCACACAAUUUCAUUCAAGGUUUUAUGGACCAAGGGGAUUAGCGCUGCUUUCCCAAGACGAGUUUAUGUGAUUAUGAAUCUUCAGGCUUUGCCUAACCAGGGAAGAAGUUGAAAGCUACGAGAAUGACCUCAUGGAUAGACGACAACCCGGUGAGAAGGUUUUAUGGGUGUCGAAAUUGGAAGGUACAUCAAUUAUUCAUGAUUCGUUUGGUUUUUGUUUAAAAAAUUGGAAUUAAUACUUAUUCGUUGAAUUUGCAAACCCAAAAUUGCGGUUUUUUUGAAUGGUACGAUGAACCAUUGUGUGAGAGAGCACGGGAAGUUAUAAACGGGUUGAAGAAGGAAAACAUGAAUCUUCUAAAGAUGCAUGAAAGUUCGAAGUCCCCCAUUGAUUUUGAAGCUGAAAUUGGCCAUCUUUGGUCAGCAAUUGCAAGUUGGAAAGAAGAAUCAAGAGGUCUUAGAAGGAGAAGUUGUCUUCUUUUCAUGUUUUUGAUCAUUUCUUGGUUUGUAAUAAUCAAACUUGCUAUAUAGCAUGAAUGUAGGUAUUAGAUGCUUGAUGUUAAAUUUAAUUGUUAAUGUAUGUUGCUUUUUGUGAAAUGAAUGAAAUCAA